AUCUAGCUAAAGAGUCCCAAAUGGAACGAAACACGUCUCUUGGAU
rnacentral:hammerhead_ribozyme from 1 species